ensembl:lncRNA
CCUUGAGUUUGCCACAUAAGUAAUGUGAACAUGUGUGUAAAUGUUAGAUUAGUUCAAACUAAUUAAAAGAUAUUUGUAUUUGUUGCAGAUCUUGGUCACGACAACGCGUGGAUUGGUUUGAACGAUCGAACAGUGGAGGAUGAUUUUCAGUGGACGGACGCCAACGAUCUGAUUUAUGAGAACUGGAGGGAGAGCCAGCCAGAUAACUUCUUUGCAGGAGGUGAAGACUGUGUGGUGACCAUCGCACACGAGGACGGGAAGUGGAACGAUGUUCCAUGUAAUUACAACCUGCCAUACAUCUGCAAGAAAGGAACAGUUCUGUGUGGGACUCCGCCCACAGUGGAGAACGCCCACCUGAUUGGACGACGGCGUUCCCACUAUGACAUCCACUCAGUGGUGCGUUACCAGUGUGUUGAUGGUUUCUACCAGCGUCACAUUCCCACUGCUCGAUGCAGAGCCGACGGCAGCUGGGAACGACCUCGUAUCAUCUGCACCAAGUCCCGGCGGUCGCAUCGGUACCGACGCCAUCACCACAAUCGCGAACGCCACAACCACCGGAGACACGGAGAAGGACACAACAAGGGCCACGAGGACGCACACAGCUACUACUGAACCAAAUAGUUUGAUAUCUGACACCCUCCCCCCAGGCCACGCCCCUCCAGCCCCAAGCCACGCCCUCCACUACCUUUAGCUUCUGUUUCCUUAUACACGCUGCUUUCUUUAGCCUUUAGCCUUUAGCCUUUAGCCAAGGUCCCAGAGAACACUUCCUGUCUAACAUUUACCUUCAUUAUUCCUCCUCACAAACUAGAACUGUGUGCGUGUGCGUGUGUGUGUGUGUGUGUGCGUGUGUGUGACAAAAACUUAGAAAAGUGCUGAGUCACUUUUCUGAUCAUGAGUUUGCUCAUCGUAGUGUGUUUGUGUUUCUAAAGAAUUUGUUGCUAACCCUGAGCUUUUUCUAUCUCUUACCGUAGCCCCACCCACUUUGUUGUUCCUCUAGUGCAGGGGUUCUCAACCUUGGGGUCGGGACCCCAUUUGCAGUCGUGAGACACUAGGAGAUGCCUUCAAAAAACUAACAAUAUUUUUUGAACAAUUUGAGCUCAUUUUUAGCAGAUUUUUUAAAAAAAACUACACCAAACGUUUAAUAUUUUUACCUGUUUUCAUCACUUUUCUUGCCAUAUUUUUUGCUCCUUUUAACGCAUUUUUGCUGCAUUACUCUCAUUUCUGUCACUUCUCCAUCAAGUUUCAAUCCCUUUUCUGCACAAUUCUUUCCACUUUCCAGACGUUUUCAGCACGUAUAAACCCCUUCCACCACUUUUCCACCUUCAUUUUGUGUUUUUUUGUUUUAGUUUUCUGUAUUUUUAAUACAAUUCUGUGUAUUUUCUGUGUCAUUCUGUAUGAUUUUCAAUUACUUUUGUGUGUAUUUGUAGUCAUCUUGUGUGUUCCUUGAUUAAGUUUUUGUGUUUUUGUUGUCAUUUUGUGCAUUUCCAUGUCCUUUUGUAAAAUAUUCAGUUACUUUUGUGUGUAUUUGUGUUCCUAGAGUAAACUACACCUAACUUGCCAUAUUUUCACCUAUUUUCAUCACUUUUUCUUACCAUAUUUUUGCUCAUUUUAAUGCAUUUUGUUACAUUACUCCCAUUUCUGCCACUUCUCCAUGAAAUAUGAAUGCUUUCUCAUCACAUUUUUUUUCCACUUUAAAUAUAUGUUCAGCACUUAUAAGCCCUUUCCACCACAUUUCCACCCAAUGUCACAUAUGUUGACCCAAUAUUAUCACUUUUAACCUCUUUUCACCAUAUUUCACAACAAAAACACAAAAAAACAACAAACGAAAUAAACAUAAAUCUCAGACAAAUGAACA